CUAUGAAGCACAAGAUAGGUUAGUUUGACGAUCUGCAGUCUACAGAACAAUGAGUCUCCCAUGCACCACCACCCACCGGAAAAAGAGUGCGGCAGUGACUGACAAGGAAACUUUCAAUAGCCUAAUAUCUAUGCUGACCAAUGUUUUUUGAAGAUGACAUUCAUUACGAAGCAUAUGGAACUGACCCCCAUCAGCAGGAUAUGAAAACAACCAGGGUGACUCUUCGGCAGGCCCAUCCUUACUGAGUCCUCACUUCUUCACAGUAAGCUGCAAAGCUGGUGUUACAGAAGCUGGGAUUCCAAGGGCCUCGGUAAUGAGCCUGAAGCGAGGGGAAGGAGCCGGAAGCUGCUAUGGAUAAUGAGAAAACCAAAUGGGCGGAGAGUAACAGUGACAACAGAUAGCUCUGUCUUGUGUAAAUUAGGUUUGUUCAGAAGCAACAGAAGCUUGAAUAAACUCAAAGUGAAAUACCAUCUUCAGGCUCAUGUUACCUUCAAAAGCAAUUGAAAAAGCUAAAAAGUAA